CCUACGGGUGGCAGCAGUGAGGAAUAUUGGUCAAUGGCCGGAAGGCUGAACCAGCCAAGCCGCGUGAAUGACGAAGGUGCCAAGCAUUGUAAACUUCUUUUGUCAAGGGACAAAAUCAGGCUCGAGAGCCUGACCGCGGGUACUUGAAGAAAAAGCAUCGGCUAACUACGUGCCAGCAGCCGCGGUAAUACGGAGGAUGCGAGCGUUAUCCGGAUUUAUUGGGUUAAAAGGGUGCGUAGGCGGACUGUUAAGUCAGCGGUAAAAGCCCGGGGCUAAACCCCGGCGAGCCGUUGAAACUGGCGGGCUUGAGAUGUCGAGAGGUAUGCGGAAUGCGCAGUGUAGCGGUGAAAUGCUUAGAUAUUGCGAAGAACGCCGAUGGCGAAGGCAGCAUACCGGCGGCGAUCUGACGCUGAGGCACGAAAGCGUGGGUAUCGAACAGGAUUAGAUACCCUUGUAGUC
rnacentral:rRNA from 1 species